rnacentral:rRNA from 1 species
UGGGGGAUAUUGCACAAUGGGCGCAAGCCUGAUGCAGCGACGCCGCGUGGGGGAUGAAGGCCUUCGGGUUGUAAACUUCUUUUGCUCUGAACAAGGCGCACUUUGGGGUGUGUUGAGUGUAGGGGUUGAUUAGCGCCGGCUAACUACGUGCCAGCAGCCGCGGUAAUACGUAGGGCGCGAGCGUUGUCCGGAAUUAUUGGGCGUAAAGGGCUUGUAGGUGGCUGGUUGCGUCUGUCGUGAAAGCUCAUGGCUUAACUGUGGGUUUGCGGUGGGUACGGGCUGGCUUGAGUGCAGUAGGGGAGGCUGGAAUUCCUGGUGGAGCGGUGGAAUGCGCAGAUAUCAGGAGGAAUACCGGUGGCGAAGGCGGGUCUCUGGGCUGUUACUGACACUGAGGAGCGAAAGCAUGGGGAGCGAACAGG